GAGAACUCGGGUGAAGGAACUAGGCAAAAUGGUACCGUAACUUCGGGAGAAGGUACGCUCUCGACGGUGAAGUCCCUCGCGGAUGGAGCUAUUGAGAGUCGCAGAUACCAGGUGGCUGCAACUGUUUAUUAAAAACACAGCACUGUGCAAAAUCGUAAGAUGACGUAUACGGUGUGACGCCUGCCCGGUGCCGGAAGGUUAAUUGAUGGGGUUAGACUUCGGUCGAAGCUCUUGAUCGAAGCCCCGGUAAACGGCGGCCGUAACUAUAACGGUCCUAAGGUAGCGAAAUUCCUUGUCGGGUAAGUUCCGACCUGCACGAAUGGCGUAAUGAUGGCCACGCUGUCUCCACCCGAGACUCAGUGAAAUUGAAAUCGCUGUGAAGAUGCAGUGUACCCGCGGCUAGACGCACGUACGCCAGUAUGUGUGGAGCCGUCCUUGAAAUACCACCCUUGUAGUGUUGAUGUUCUAACGUCGACCCCUUAUCGGGGUUGCGGACAGUGCCUGGUGGGUAGUUUGACUGGGGCGGUCUCCUCCCAAAGAGUAACGGAGGAGCACGAAGGUGGGCUAAUCACGGUUGGACAUCGUGAGGUUAGUGCAAUGGCAUAAGCCCGCUUGACUGCGAGAAUGACAAUUCGAGCAGGUGCGAAAGCAGGUCAUAGUGAUCCGGUGGUUCUGAAUGGAAGGGCCAUCGCUCAACGGAUAAAAGGUACUCCGGGGAUAACAGGCUGAUACCGCCCAAGAGUUCAUAUCGACGGCGGUGUUUGGCACCUCGAUGUCGGCUCAUCACAUCCUGGGGCUGAAGUCGGUCCCAAGGGUAUGGCUGUUCGCCAUUUAAAGUGGUACGCGAGCUGGGUUUAGAACGUCGUGAGACAGUUCGGUCCCUAUCUGCCGUGGGCGUUGGAAGAUUGAAGGGGGCUGCUCCUAGUACGAGAGGACCGGAGUGGACGAACCUCUGGUGUUCGGGUUGUGUCGCCAGACGCAUUGCCCGGUAGCUAAGUUCGGAAUCGAUAACCGCUGAAAGCAUCUAAGCGGGAAGCGAGCCCUGAGAUGAGUCUUCCCUGAUACUUUAAGUAUCCUAAAGGGUUGUCGGAGACUACGACGUUGAUAGGUCAGGUGUGUAAGUGCUGUGAGGCAUUGAGCUAACUGAUACUAAUUGCCCGUGAGGCUUAACCAUACAACACCCAAGGGGUUU
rnacentral:rRNA from 1 species